rnacentral:rRNA from 1 species
AAUAGAUACCCCGGUAGUCCACGCCGUAAACGAUGAGUGCUAGGUGUCGGGGGUUCUACCCUCGGUGCCGAAGGUAACCCAUUAAGCACUCCGCCUGGGGAGUACGGCCGCAAGGCUGAAACUCAAAGGAAUUGACGGGGGCCCGCACAAGCGGUGGAGCAUGUGGUUUAAUUCGAAGCAACGCGAAGAACCUUACCAGGGCUUGACAUCCCGCUGACCGCUCCAGAGAUGGAGCUUCCCUUCGGGGCAGCGGUGACAGGUGGUGCAUGGUUGUCGUCAGCUCGUGUCGUGAGAUGUUGGGUUCAGUCCCGCAACGAGCGCAACCCUUAUCGCUAGUUGCCAGCAUUCAGUUGGGCACUCUAGCGAGACAGCCGGUGAAAGCCGGAGGAAGGUGGGGAUGACGUCAAAUCAUCAUGCCCCUUAUGUCCUGGGCUACACACGUGCUACAAUGGCCGGUACAAUGGGUCGCCAACCCGCGAGGGGGAGCUAAUCCCACAAAACCGGUCUCAGUUCGGAUCGCAGGCUGCAACUCG